GACGAACGCUGGCGGCGUGCCUAAUACAUGCAAGUCGAACGCAGGGGGGACGGGUGAGUAACACGUGGGUAACCUCCCAUCAGAGGGGAUAACACUUGGAAAAAGGUGCUAACCCGCUAUUGCUGGAUGGACCAGCGGUGCAUUAGCUCCUUGGUGGGGUAACGGCUACCCAAGGCCACGAUGCGUAGCCGACCUGAGAGGUUGAUCGGCCACACUGGGACUGAGACACGGCCCCGACUCCUACGGGAGGCAGCAGUAGGGAAUCUUCGGCAAUGGACGAAAGUCUGACCUAGCAACGCCGCGUGAGUGAAGAAGGUUUUCGGAUCGUAAAACUCUGUUGUUAGAGAAGCGGUAUCUAACCAGAAAGCCACGGCUAACUACGUGCCAGCAGCCGCGGUAAUUC
rnacentral:rRNA from 1 species